rnacentral:rRNA from 1 species
GGAUCCAGACUUUGAUUUGGCUCGGGAUGAACGCUAGCUACAGGCUUAACACAUGCAAGUCGAGGGGAAACGACAUCGAAAGCUUGCUUUUGAUGGGCGUCGACCGGCGCACGGGUGAGUAACGCGUAUCCAACCUGCCCACCACUUGGGGAUAACCUUGCGAAAGUAAGACUAAUACCCAAUGAUAUCUCUAGAAGACAUCUGAAAGAGAUUAAAGAUUUAUCGGUGAUGGAUGGGGAUGCGUCUGAUUAGCUUGUUGGCGGGGUAACGGCCCACCAAGGCAACGAUCAGUAGGGGUUCUGAGAGGAAGGUCCCCCACAUUGGAACUGAGACACGGUCCAAACUCCUACGGGAGGCAGCAGUGAGGAAUAUUGGUCAAUGGACGAGAGUCUGAACCAGCCAAGUAGCGUGCAGGAUGACGGCCCUAUGGGUUGUAAACUGCUUUUAUAAGGGAAUAAAGUGAGUCUCGUGAGACUUUUUGCAUGUACCUUAUGAAUAAGGACCGGCUAAUUCCGUGCCAGCAGCCGCGGUAAUACGGAAGGUCCGGGCGUUAUCCGGAUUUAUUGGGUUUAAAGGGAGCGUAGGCCGGAGAUUAAGCGUGUUGUGAAAUGUAGACGCUCAACGUCUGCACUGCAGCGCGAACUGGUUUCCUUGAGUACGCACAAAGUGGGCGGAAUUCGUGGUGUAGCGGUGAAAUGCUUAGAUAUCACGAAGAACUCCGAUUGCGAAGGCAGCUCACUGGAGCGCAACUGACGCUGAAGCUCGAAAGUGCGGGUAUCGAACAGGAUUAGAUACCCUGGUAGUCCGCACGGUAAACGAUGGAUGCCCGCUGUUGGUCUGAAUAGGUCAGCGGCCAAGCGAAAGCAUUAAGCAUCCCACCUGGGGAGUACGCCGGCAACGGUGCAACUC